AUUCAUUGGCUAAUGCAACAGGGUAACCCUACAGUGAAAUGCUCUGUAUUUCUGAUGUUCUGCAGAGAACUUAGAGACUUAACUGGAUUCAGGAACCUGGAGGACAACAGUAGGCAGUCAAGUACCCAAAUGCUAAUUCAGUCCUGGAAUAGACGCAAUUUGAAGUUCACAGUGUCUUGGAAAUAAAAUACUUU